rnacentral:rRNA from 1 species
UACGUAGGGGCAAGCGUUAUCCGGAUUUACUGGGUGUAAAGGGAGCGCAGACGGAACUGCAAGUCUGAUGUGAAAGCCCGGGGCUCAACCGCGGGACUGCAUCGGAUACUGUGGAUCUGGAGUGCCGGAGGGGCAAGCGGAAUUCCUGGUGUAGCGGUGAAAUGCGUAGAUAUCAGGAGGAACACCGGCGGCGAGGGCGGCUUGCUGGACGGCAACUGACGUUGAGGCUCGAAAGCGUGGGGAGCAAACAGGAUUAGAUACCCCGUA